rnacentral:rRNA from 1 species
GAUGAACGCUGGCGGCGUGCUUAACACAUGCAAGUCGAACGAAGCAGCUUAACGGAACUCUUCGGAGGGAAGAUAAGUUGACUGAGUGGCGGACGGGUGAGUAACGCGUGGGUAACCUGCCUCACACAGGGGGAUAACAGUUGGAAACGGCUGCUAAUACCGCAUAAGCGCACAGUACCGCAUGGUACGGUGUGAAAAACUCCGGUGGUCUGGGAUGGACCCGCGUCCGAUUAGUUAGUUGGUGGGGUAACGGCCCACCAAGACUGCGAUCGGUAGCCGACCUGAGAGGGUGACCGGCCACAUUGGGACUGAGACACGGCCCAAACUCCUACGGGAGGCAGCAGUGGGGAAUAUUGCACAAUGGGGGAAACCCUGAUGCAGCGACGCCGCGUGAGUGAUGAAGUAUUUCGGUAUGUAAAACUCUAUCAGCAGGGAAGAUAAUGACGGUACCUGACUAAGAAGCACCGGCUAAAUACGUGCCAGCAGCCGCGGU